rnacentral:rRNA from 1 species
UACGUAGGGUCCGAGCGUUGUCCGGAUUUAUUGGGCGUAAAGAGCUCGUAGGCGGUUCCGUAAGUCAGAUGUGAAAACUCAGGGCUCAACCCGGAGACGCCAUCUGAUACUGCGGUGACUGGAGUCUGGUAGGGGAUCACGGAAUACCUGGUGUAGCGGUGAAAUGCGCAGAUAUCAGGUGGAACACCGAUGGCGAAGGCAGUGAUCUGGGCCAGUACUGACGCUGAGGAGCGAAAGCGUGGGGAGCGAACAGG